rnacentral:tRNA from 1 species
CAAAAGAUAGUUUAACCAAAACAUUGGCCUUGGACGCCAAUAACAAGCCCCCCCGGCUUUCUUUUGA